GGUGCUGUAGCUCAGUGAUAGAGCACCUGCCUUGCAUGUGUGAGGCACUGGGUUUGAUUCUCAGCAUCACAU
rnacentral:tRNA from 1 species